UACGUAGGGUGCAAGCGUUGUCCGGAAUUAUUGGGCGUAAAGAGCUCGUAGGCGGUUUGUCGCGUCUGCUGUGAAAAAUCCAGGGCUUAACCCUGGACCUGCAGUGGGUACGGGCAGACUGGAGUGCGGUAGGGGAGAUCGGAAUUCCUGGUGUAGCGGUGAAAUGCGCAGAUAUCGGGAGGAACACCUGUGGCGAAGGCGGCCACCUGGACGUUGGACUGACGCUGAGACGCGAAAGCAUGGGAGAGC
rnacentral:rRNA from 1 species